AUUGUGGACAGAUUUGAAUUGAUUGCAACCACUAUAAAAGAAUGCUAAAACAAG
rnacentral:ncRNA from 1 species